rnacentral:misc_RNA from 1 species
UCCGGUUUGUCACCGGCAGUCUCCCUAGAGUGCCCUUGCGUAGCAACUAGGGACAAGGGUUGCGCUCGUUGCGGGACUUAACCCAACAUCUCACGACACGAGCUGACGACAGCCAUGCAGCACCUGUGCACGGACUCCGAAGAGGAACCGAUGUUUCCACCGGCUUUCCCGUGCAUGUCAAGCCAGGUAAGGUGGGGAUGACGUGCCUGUACCAUAGA